rnacentral:misc_RNA from 1 species
UAAUUUACCAAUGAUGAACGGAGUUUUAAGUAACAUGAGUUUAGAAAAUUCAAAAUAGAUGAGAAGAGAAGCUAACAAUAGGCCACAAUUAUCAGAGGCUCAUGCCAUUCAACUUUACUUUAAAAUGAUAAAUGAAUGAAAUGAACAACUUGAGAGGAUGCACAAAACCUUGACCGAGCUUCAAGUCAUAAGCCAAGAAUAUAAGAUAAAUAAUAAGUUAAUAAAGUCAUAUAUACCGAUAACAACG